rnacentral:rRNA from 1 species
ACAUACGACCAUACCCACUGGAAUAUACGGGAUCCCGUCCGCUCUCCCCUAGUCAAACCAGUGAGGGCCGAACUAGUACUCAGGUGGGUGACCACUGGGGAAUCCUCGGUGUCGUAUGUUUUG